AUGAGUAAAGUGGCGCACGGGUGAGUAACACGUAGGUGACCUGCCUUUUAGAGGGGAAUAACCAGAUGAAAAUUUGGCUAAUGCCGCAUACGAAGAGCAAAACUAAGAGUAGCUCUCGAAAGGAUGCCUCUGUAUAUGCAUCCACUAAAAGAUGGGCCUGCGGAACAUUAGCUAGUUGGUGGGGUAAAGGCCUACCAAGGCAACGAUGUUUAUCCGGUCUGAGAGGAUGAUCGGACACACUGGAACUGAGACACGGUCCAGACUCC
rnacentral:rRNA from 1 species